ACUUAAAUUGAAGAGUUUGAUCAUGGCUCAGAUUGAACGCUGGCGGCAGGCCUAACACAUGCAAGUCGAGCGGUAGCACAGAGAGCUUGCUCUCGGGUGACGAGCGGCGGACGGGUGAGUAAUGUCUGGGAAACUGCCUGAUGGAGGGGGAUAACUACUGGAAACGGUAGCUAAUACCGCAUAAUGUCGCAAGACCAAAGUGGGGGACCUUCGGGCCUCAUGCCAUCAGAUGUGCCCAGAUGGGAUUAGCUAGUAGGUGGGGUAACGGCUCACCUAGGCGACGAUCCCUAGCUGGUCUGAGAGGAUGACCAGCCACACUGGAACUGAGACACGGUCCAGACUCCUACGGGAGGCAGCAGUGGGGAAUAUUGCACAAUGGGCGCAAGCCUGAUGCAGCCAUGCCGCGUGUGUGAAGAAGGCCUUCGGGUUGUAAAGCACUUUCAGCGGGGAGGAAGGCGGUGAGGUUAAUAACCUCAUCGAUUGACGUUACCCGCAGAAGAAGCACCGGCUAACUCCGUGCCAGCAGCCGCGGUAAUACGGAGGGUGCAAGCGUUAAUCGGAAUUACUGGGCGUAAAGCGCACGCAGGCGGUCUGUCAAGUCGGAUGUGAAAUCCCCGGGCUCAACCUGGGAACUGCAUUCGAAACUGGCAGGCUAGAGUCUUGUAGAGGGGGGUAGAAUUCCAGGUGUAGCGGUGAAAUGCGUAGAGAUCUGGAGGAAUACCGGUGGCGAAGGCGGCCCCCUGGACAAAGACUGACGCUCAGGUGCGAAAGCGUGGGGAGCAAACAGGAUUAGAUACCCUGGUAGUCCACGCCGUAAACGAUGUCGAUUUGGAGGUUGUGCCCUUGAGGCGUGGCUUCCGGAGCUAACGCGUUAAAUCGACCGCCUGGGGAGUACGGCCGCAAGGUUAAAACUCAAAUGAAUUGACGGGGGCCCGCACAAGCGGUGGAGCAUGUGGUUUAAUUCGAUGCAACGCGAAGAACCUUACCUGGUCUUGACAUCCACAGAACUUUCCAGAGAUGGAUUGGUGCCUUCGGGAACUGUGAGACAGGUGCUGCAUGGCUGUCGUCAGCUCGUGUUGUGAAAUGUUGGGUUAAGUCCCGCAACGAGCGCAACCCUUAUCCUUUGUUGCCAGCGGUUCGGCCGGGAACUCAAAGGAGACUGCCAGUGAUAAACUGGAGGAAGGUGGGGAUGACGUCAAGUCAUCAUGGCCCUUACGACCAGGGCUACACACGUGCUACAAUGGCAUAUACAAAGAGAAGCGACCUCGCGAGAGCAAGCGGACCUCAUAAAGUAUGUCGUAGUCCGGAUUGGAGUCUGCAACUCGACUCCAUGAAGUCGGAAUCGCUAGUAAUCGUAGAUCAGAAUGCUACGGUGAAUACGUUCCCGGGCCUUGUACACACCGCCCGUCACACCAUGGGAGUGGGUUGCAAAAGAAGUAGGUAGCUUAACCUUCGGGAGGGCGCUUACCACUUUGUGAUUCAUGACUGGGGUGAAGUCGUAACAAGGUAACCGUAGGGGAACCUGCGGUUGGAUCACCUCCUUACCUUAAAGAA
rnacentral:rRNA from 1 species